UACGUAGGGCGCAAGCGUUAUCCGGAAUUAUUGGGCGUAAAGAGCUCGUAGGCGGUUUGUCGCGUCUGCCGUCAAAUCCCCAGGGCUCAACCCUGGACAGGCGGUGGAAACUACCAAGCUGGAGUACGGUAGGGGCAGAGGGAAUUUCCGGUGGAGCGGUGAAAUGCGUAGAGGUCGGAAAGAACACCAACGGCGAAAGACACUCUGCUGGGCCGACACUGACACUGAGAGACGAAAGCUAGGGGAGCGAAUGGG
rnacentral:rRNA from 1 species